GAUGAAGAACGCAGCGAAAUGCGAUAAGUAAUGUGAAUUGCAGAAUUCAGUGAAUCAUCGAGUCUUUGAACGCACAUUGCGCCCCCUGGUAUUCCGGGGGGCAUGCCUGUCCGAGCGUCAUUGCUGCCCUCAAGCACGGCUUGUGUGUUGGGCCCCCGCCCCCCGGCUUCGGGGGGCGGGCCCGAAAGGCAGCGGCGGCACCGCGUCCGGUCCUCGAGCGUAUGGGGCUUCGUCACCCGCUCUGUAGGCCCGGCCGGCGCCAGCCGACAACCCAUCAUCCUUUUCAGGUUGACCUCGGAUCAGGUAGGGAUACCCGCUGAACUUAAGCAUAUCAAUAAGCGGAGGA
rnacentral:misc_RNA from 1 species